rnacentral:piRNA from 1 species
UAAAACUUCUUGUUUCCUUUCUGUAUGAAC